AUUGAACGCUGGCGGCAUGCCUUACACAUGCAAGUCGAACGGUAACGGGUCCUUCGGGAUGCCGACGAGUGGCGAACGGGUGAGUAAUAUAUCGGAACGUGCCCAGUAGUGGGGGAUAACUGCUCGAAAGAGCAGCUAAUACCGCAUACGACCUGAGGGUGAAAGGGGGGGAUCGUAAGACCUCUCGCUAUUGGAGCGGCCGAUAUCAGAUUAGCUAGUUGGUGGGGUAAAGGCCUACCAAGGCAACGUACUGUAGUUGGUCUGAGAGGACGGCCAGCAACAGUUGGACUGAGACACGGCCCAGACUCCUACGGGAGGGAGCAGUGGGGAAUUUUGGACAAUGGGCGCAAGCCUGAUCCAGCAAUGCCGCGUGCAGGAAGAAGGCCUUCGGGUUGUAAACUGCUUUUGUCAGGGAAGGAAUCUUCUGGGCUAAUACCCCGGGAGGAUGACGGUACCUGAAGAAUAAGCACCGGCUAACUACGUGCCAGCCGCCGCGGUAA
rnacentral:rRNA from 1 species